GUGUGUGUGUGUGUGUGUGUGUGUGUGUCUGUGUGUGUGUGUGUUGUCUGACCUGAGGUGAUGUAAGAUGAGUGUCCUACAAGAGCGUGACAAGGUGAACGAUGUCUGCGGUAAGGAGGAGAAGGAGGAGAAAAGAUAAAAGUGGGAAGGAAGCGCAAGUACAGAAGCAGGGAGAGAAAACAGAGAAGGAGGCAUAGAUGGAACAGGGACAGGUUCAGAUGUUCUGGGAGGGGGAUGAGGGAAAAGUGAGAAUAUAAGGAAGAAAUGUUAAAAACAAGAAAUAGGCAAUGCAGUGAUAGAAUCUUGAUUUAUAUUUUAUCUGCACUGCCUAGUUUGACAGUUUCCUGCAUUGCGCUAGACCGGUAUGACUUGCCAAUCACAAGGUAACACACCCUUAAACAUACCCUUCUAUAUUGUUUAUUUUACUGAACAUCAUGCUGAAGACUUGAACUAACAAAUCAAGUGAGAAGCAGGGUAAUUUCGCCUAUACAUUAACUGCAACUGGUACUGAACCAUCAUAAAGAAUGCAGGUUUAAGGUACUUCCACAUUGAGCUCACUACUCAGACCUGGAAGUUGUUUUUUUGAGUUUCACAGCCACCAUAGUUUCUUCUAUGUUUGGAAGGUGAUCAGUAAGGUGGUUGCAAUCUGCAACUUCACUGCUAGAUGCCACCAAAUUCUAGACUGGUCCUUUAAACCAAUUGGAAUGCACAGGUGGGACUAAUUCUUCACAUAUGACUGGUUGAGACAUUUUUAUUGGCCCUUUUGACAUUGCAACUCUUGAAAACUAAAAAACAGAUUUUAGGGUAAAGGACAAUACAUUGGUAAAGUAUAUUGCUAUUUUCUAAACGUUUCUUUUUUCAACCAUUUCUUGUGACCUUGCAAUAAAAAAAAUUACCACAAAGAUUUGAAAACCAAAACAUUACAACAGUACCUAAAAGUAGAGAUAUUGGUAUUCAGGGCUUGGUCAAGAUAACCAUCCUCCUUAUUGGUUGACAAAGCAACACUUUUUCCAGUAUGCUUUGCAAAAACGUCAUUAUAAAAAAAUGAAUAACUCCCAUCAGCUGACUACACUAACACCAUUUGUAUAGUACAUGUACUUACAAUAUAUAGUUUUAAAUUAUUCACAUUGUCUAUCAAAUUGAAACUUUAA
rnacentral:lncRNA from 1 species